AGCCUGAUGCAGCCACGCCGCGUGUGUGAUGAGGUCUUCGGAUUGUAAAGCUCUGUCGCUUGGGACGAUAGUGACGAUAUAAAACCUUGAUGCUUUGAUGAUUACAAGCCAAUAAGCCCCGGCUUACUUCGUGCCAGCAGCCGCGGUAAUA
rnacentral:rRNA from 1 species